UGUUUGGAUGAGCCAAUUGCUGGGUUGCAGGCAUCGGGUCAAUAGUUGGGUUGUUUUCUGUAAAUUCAGCAAGGUUGGGUUAUUAAGGUUGGAUUAUGGAUAUUUGACUCAGCCAGUGGGCUAAUUCCCCCGCCACAAGCGCAUAAAGUCCACCAGAAUACUUGCAAGUAUUCUAGUUCUAGUGCGACUGAGUGACUGCUGAGUGGAAAAUGGCUAACGUUAUUUCGACAGACUAAGGGUGUAUUGGCUGACUGAAAACCUUUUAAAAAAUAGGUCAAGGCCAAUGAAUGGACAGCUUUGUAAAGACAUGCUGAAUGAGUGGAACCUGGUCUCUUUGAUUCCAAAGCUUGAUGGUACCCCCUUUCCCUUUUACCCUCUCAUUUGGAGUGGAAGAGAUGGACCAGGAAACGCUCUUGCAUUUGGACGGCUCAACUAUAGCCUGAAGUUAAAGAAGAACAUUAAAGCCUUACAAGCAAGUCAAAUGUGAGAGGGCAGCCCAGAUGACCAAGUGGAUGAACAACAUCUGGCCGGCAAACCAGGUUGCGGAGUACAUGAAGGAGAUCGCGAUCCAAAGGGCUCAGUGGACUACACAGAAUGGGGCCAAGAGAGUCGAGAUAGUCCGAGAGUAUCCGCGUCUGAUGGAUACUCAAGGUGUCUCCCAUCUUCCCCCAUUAUCCCCUGUGUAUUUACACCUGCAUGUUCUGUUUGUCUGUUGCCAGUUCGUCUUAUCUCGUCAAGCCUUUUCCGUACUCCUGUUUUCUCUAGUCCCUAUUUUCUAGUUCUCCCAGUUCCGACCAUUUCUGCCUGACCCUGAGCCCGCCUGCCAUACCAUUCUGCCUGCCCUGACCCCGAGCUUGCUUGUCGUACUGUAUCUAGCUGACUCUGACCUGGUUUACGAACUUCUGCCUACCCUGACCCUGAGCCUGUCUGCCGCCCUGUACCUGUCGGACUCAAACCUGGUUACGAACCUCUGCCUGUCCUCAACCUACCCUUUGCCUGCCUCCUGUGGUUUAAUAAACUACUCUGUGUAUUGAA